rnacentral:rRNA from 1 species
AGAGUUUGAUCCUGGCUCAGAACGAACGCUGGCGGCAUGCCUAACACAUGCAAGUCGAACGAGACCUUCGGGUCCAGUGGCGCACGGGUGCGUAACGCGUGGGAAUCUGCCCUGGGGUACGGAAUAACUCAGAGAAAUUUGAGCUAAUACCGUAUGAUGACGUAAGUCCAAAGAUUUAUCGCCCUGGGAUGAGCCCGCGUAGGAUUAGCUUGUUGGUGAGGUAAAGGCUCACCAAGGCGACGAUCCUUAGCUGGUCUGAGAGGAUGAUCAGCCACACUGGGACUGAGACACGGCCCAGACUCCUACGGGAGGCAGCAGUGGGGAAUAUUGGACAAUGGGCGAAAGCCUGAUCCAGCAAUGCCGCGUGAGUGAUGAAGGCCUUAGGGUUGUAAAGCUCUUUUACCCGGGAAGAUAAUGACUU